AAAGUCUGAUGGAGCAACGCCGCGUGAGUGAAGAAGGGUUUCGGCUCGUAAAACUCUGUUGUUAAAGAAGAACAUAUCUGAGAGUAACUGUUCAGGUAUUGACGGUAUUUAACCAGAAAGCCACGGCUAACUACGUGCCAGCAGCCGCGGUAAUACGUAGGUGGCAAGCGUUGUCCGGAUUUAUUGGGCGUAAAGCGAGCGCAGGCGGUUUUUUAAGUCUGAUGUGAAAGCCUUCGGCUCAACCGAAGAAGUGCAUCGGAAACUGGGAAACUUGAGUGCAGAAGAGGACAGUGGAACUCCAUGUGUAGCGGUGAAAUGCGUAGAUAUAUGGAAGAACACCAGUGGCGAAGGCGGCUGUCUGGUCUGUAACUGACGCUGAGGCUCGAAAGUAUGGGUAGCAAACAGGAUUAGAUACCCCCCGGUAGUCAA
rnacentral:rRNA from 1 species